GACGAACGCUGGCGGCGUGCUUAACACAUGCAAGUCGAGCGGUAAGGCUCCUUCGGGAGUACACGAGCGGCGAACGGGUGAGUAACACGUGAGUAAUCUGCCCUUCACUUCGGGAUAAGCGCCGGAAACGGCGUCUAAUACCGAAUACGACGCGCUCUCGCAUGAGAUGUGCGUGGAAAGUCUUAUCGGUGAAGGAUGUGCUCGCGGCCUAUCAGCUUGUUGGUGAGGUAAUGGCUCACCAAGGCUUCGACGGGUAGCCGGCCUGAGAGGGUGACCGGCCACACUGGGACUGAGACACGGCCCAGACUCCUACGGGUGGCAG
rnacentral:rRNA from 1 species